GUAGGGUGAACCUGCGGAGGGAUCAUUCCCGAGUUUACAACUCCCAAACCCCUGUGAACAUACCAAUUGUUGCCUCGGCGGAUCAGCCCGCUCCCGGUAAAACGGGACGGCCCGCCAGAGGACCCCUAAACUCUGUUUCUAUAUGUAACUUCUGAGUAAAACCAUAAAUAAAUCAAAACUUUCAACAACGGAUCUCUUGGUUCUGGCAUCGAUGAAGAACGCAGCAAAAUGCGAUAAGUAAUGUGAAUUGCAGAAUUCAGUGAAUCAUCGAAUCUUUGAACGCACAUUGCGCCCGCCAGUAUUCUGGCGGGCAUGCCUGUUCGAGCGUCAUUUCAACCCUCAAGCCCAGCUUGGUGUUGGGACUCGCGAGUCAAAUCGCGUUCCCCAAAUUGAUUGGCGGUCACGUCGAGCUUCCAUAGCGUAGUAGUAAAACCCUCGUUACUGGUAAUCGUCGCGGCCACGCCGUUAAACCCCAACUUCUGAAUGUUGACCUCGGAUCAGGUAUGAAGUCCAAUUUCCCUCUGAACUUAAGCAUAUCAAUAAGCGGGAGG
rnacentral:rRNA from 1 species